CGUCCUUUUGUCUCGGCCAACAUUUCUCCUCUAAAAAUGUUUCCUCUGCGGUGGACAUUCAAAAUACAUUGUAUCGUCUAUUCGAGUCUGCUUGGAAACCGGAAGUUCCGGUGACCAGCGGAAUUUACAGAUCCGCAAGCGGAAAAAUUCAGUACCGUUACUGGCAUUCACAGUGUUUCCGUGCUUGUCGUUUCACUUGAGAAAAAUAGCAAUUGUUGGAGCCACCUUGAAAAAAUGGAAAAAAAGUGAGAAAAACGUAUUUUUUACAGUCUAUUUAAAUUUAUAAUUUUCCAAGUUAACAUUCAUAUAGUAAAGUUAAAUAAAU